rnacentral:rRNA from 1 species
CCUACGGGAGGCAGCAGUGGGGAAUAUUGGACAAUGGGCGAAAGCCUGAUCCAGCAAUGCCGCGUGAGUGAUGAAGGCCUUAGGGUUGUAAAGCUCUUUUACCAGGGAUGAUAAUGACAGUACCUGGAGAAUAAGCUCCGGCUAACUCCGUGCCAGCAGCCGCGGUAAUACGGAGGGAGCUAGCGUUGUUCGGAAUUACUGGGCGUAAAGCGUACGUAGGCGGUUAUUCAAGUCAGAGGUGAAAGCCUGGAGCUCAACUCCAGAACUGCCUUUGAAACUAGAUAGCUAGAAUCUUGGAGAGGUGAGUGGAAUUCCGAGUGUAGAGGUGAAAUUCGUAGAUAUUCGGAAGAACACCAGUGGCGAAGGCGACUCACUGGACAAGUAUUGACGCUGAGGUACGAAAGCGUGGGGAGCAAACAGGAUUAGAUACCCUGGUAGUCCACGCCGUAAACGAUGAUAACUAGCUGUUCGGGCUCUACGAGCUUGAGUGGCGCAGACUACGACAUUAAGUUAUCCGUCCGUCGGGAGGUACGGUCGCGAAGAAUUAAACUAACGAAAGGAAGUUAGUACGGACGUGAGACGUGCCGACGGACGACGACGAGGGAGGAGG